AUACUUGCCUGGCAAGGGAGAUACCAUGAUCACAAAGGUGGUUUUCCCGGGGCAGGACUUAUCAAUGCACUUCCAAUGUGCUGACCCCUGUGAUUUCCCCAAUUGUGGGAAACUCUGCUGCAUCAUUUGUGGUAGUGGGGGACUGUGUUCGCACUCUCCCUUG
rnacentral:snRNA from 1 species